AUCUUUUCCAAAGAAGCGCUUUCUAGGUAUACUCUUAACAGAGAUGUUGAUAUUUGACUCACGCGCAGAGGAUGUUGAGCUUAAGCACGUCUAAUGGAAUUACUUCAUGCUUCUACAGAUGAUUGAAAGUAUGUGGAAUAAAUAGCUCUGAACUAAUCUAUAAAUGGUUAUAGUAAAAUAUGUUUCUGUUGUAAAAUGCUUGACCUAGAGGAUUAUGACACUAUGUGGAGUUAUCAUUGUCAUACGUCUCUUUUCUAGCUCCGUUGGACCUCUAAAGCUUUAUAUUACUGAGAUGGAUAUUUAUGUUCUGAGGAAACAGAAAAAUGAUCAACGAUGGAGCUUUAGAGAUCUUGGAUGGAUUCUGUCUAUCUAUGUAUGCCUAAAAAGGUUUUCUUUAGUGUAAACCUAUGUUGUUUGAAUUCUUCAAAAAUGUCCCAGGGAUAUGUUUCAGAUUUGUCAAAAAUAGUGUAUUUUUAAAAAAUCCGACACGGAUGAAAAGUGAAGAAUUUGCGAAACUAAGGUGUAAACUAAAGUACACAUCAAGCAAUUUACUUAUAUAUAGA